rnacentral:rRNA from 1 species
CCUACGGGAGGCAGCAGUGAGGCAUAUUGGGCAAUGGGGGCAACCCUGACCCAGCCAUGCCGCGUGAGUGAAGAAGGUCUUCGGAUUGUAAAGGGCGGUCGGACGUGACGAUGAUGACGGUAGCGUCUAAAGAAGCACCGGCAAACUUCGUGCCAGCAGCCGCGGGAAUACGAAGGGUGCGAGCGUUGGUCGGAAUUACUGGGCGUAAAGGGAGUGUAGGCGGCUAGGUAAGAUAGAGGUUAAAUGCCGGGGCUCAACCCCGGAACUGCCAUUAUGACUAUGUAUCUAGAGUAAUGGAGAGGAGAGCGGAAUACCAAGUGUAGAGGUGAAAUUCGUAGAUAGUUGGUAGAACACCGGUGGCGAAGGCGGCUAUCUGGCCAGUUACUGACGCUGAGGCUCGAAAGCAUGGGGAUCAAACAGGAUUAGAUACCCUAGUAGUC